rnacentral:tRNA from 1 species
GGGGCCGUGGGGUAGCCAGGUAUCCUUUCGGACUUGGGAUCCGAAGACCCGGGUUCGAAUCCCGGCGGCCCCA